UACGGGGGGGGCAAGCGUUGUUCGGAAUUACUGGGCGUAAAGGGCUCGUAGGUGGCCAACUAAGUCAGACGUGAAAUCCCUCGGCUUAACCGGGGAACUGCGUCUGAUACUGGAUGGCUAGAGUUUGGGAGAGGGAUGCGGAAUUCCAGGUGUAGCGGUGAAAUGCGUAGAUAUCAGGAGGAACACCGGUGGCGAAGGCGGAUCUCUGGGCCGAUACUGACGCUGAGGAGCGAAAGCGUGGGGAGCGAACAGG
rnacentral:rRNA from 1 species